rnacentral:rRNA from 1 species
AGAGUUUGAUCAUGGCUCAGGACGAACGCUGGCGGCGUGCCUAACACAUGCAAGUCGAACGAGAAUCUUUGAACAGAACGUUUCGGAGUGACGUUCAAAGAGGAAAGUGGCGGACGGGCGAGUAACGCGUGAGUAACCUGCCCAUAAGAGGGGGAUAAUCCAUGGAAACGUGGACUAAUACCGCAUAUUGUAGUUAAGUUGCAUGACUUGAUUAUGAAAGAUUUAUCGCUUAUGGAUGGACUCGCGUCAGAUUAGAUAGUUGGUGAGGUAACGGCUCACCAAGUCAACGAUCUGUAGCCGAACUGAGAGGUUGAUCGGCCGCAUUGGGACUGAGACACGGCCCAGACUCCUACGGGAGGCAGCAGUGGGGAAUAUUGCGCAAUGGGGGCAACCCUGACGCAGCAACGCCGCGUGCAGGAAGAAGGUCUUCGGAUUGUAAACUGUUGUCGCAAGGGAAGAAGACAGUGACGGUACCUUGUGAGAAAGUCACGGCUAACUACGUGCCAGCAGCCGCGGUAAUACGUAGGUGACAAGCGUUGUCCGGAUUUACUGGGUGUAAAGGGCGCGUAGGCGGACUGUCAAGUCAGUCGUGAAAUACCGGGGCUUAACCCCGGGGCUGCGAUUGAAACUGACA